rnacentral:rRNA from 1 species
UACGGAGGAUGCGAGCGUUAUCCGGAUUUAUUGGGUUUAAAGGGUGCGUAGGCGGAGUGUCAAGUCAGCGGUAAAAUUUCGGGGCUCAACCCCGUCGUGCCGUUGAAACUGACACCCUUGAGUGAGUGAGAAGUAAGCGGAAUGCGUGGUGUAGCGGUGAAAUGCAUAGAUAUCACGCAGAACGCCGAUUGCGAAGGCAGCUUACCGGCGCUCAACUGACGCUGAGGCACGAAAGUGCGGGUAUC